rnacentral:sRNA from 1 species
GCUGGGAGCAGUGGUGCAUGCCUGUAAUCCCAGUAGCUUGGGAGUCUGAGACAGGAGGAUUGUGAGUUCAAGGCCAACCUCAGAAACUUAGUGAGGCCCUGAGCAACCCAAUGAGACCCUGUCUCUA